rnacentral:rRNA from 1 species
GAUGAACGCUAGCGAUAGGCUUAACACAUGCAAGUCUAGGGGUAACGUGUUGGAAGCUUGCUUCCGAUGACGACGACCGGCGGAUGGGUGCGUAACGCGUAUGCAACUUGCCUCACAGAGGAGAAUAACCCGGAGAAAUCCGGACUAAUGCUCCAUACACUCUUUAGCACGCCUGUGCGUAAGAGGAAAGAUUUAUCGCUGUGAGAUAGGCAUGCGUCCUAUUAGGUAGUUGGUGAGGUAACGGCUCACCAAGCCGACGAUAGGGAGGGGUGCUGAGAGGCAGAUCCCCCACAUUGGAACUGAGACCCUGUCCCAACUCCUACCGGAGGCAGCGAAGAGGAAUCUUGGUCAAUAGAUGGAGAUCUGAACCAGCCGAGUGGCGUGCAAGAUGACGGCCCUAUGGGUUGUAAACUGCUUUUAUGUGAGAAUAAAGUUAGGUAUGUAUACUAAUUUGCAUGUAUCACAUGGAUAACGACCGGCUGAUUCCGUGCCACCAGCCCGCGGCAAUACAGUAAGGUCCGGGCCGUAUCCGCGAUUUAUUGG